rnacentral:rRNA from 1 species
GACGAACGCUGGCGGCGUGCUUAACACAUGCAAGUCGAACGGAAAGGCCCUGCUUUUGUGGGGUGCUCGAGUGGCGAACGGGUGAGUAACACGUGAGUAACCUGCCCUUGACUUUGGGAUAACUUCUGGAAACUGGGGCUAAUACCCGAUAGGAGCUCCUGCUGCAUGGUGGUGGUUGGAAAGUUUCGGCGGUUGGGGAUGGACUCGCGGCUUAUCAGCUUGUUGGUGGGGUAGUGGCUUACCAAGGCUUUGACGGGUAGCCGGCCUGAGAGGGUGACCGGCCACAUUGGGACUGAGAUACGGACCAGACGCCUACGGGAGGCAGCAGUGGGGAAUAUUGCACAAUGGGCGGAAGCCUGAUGCAGCAGCGCCGCGUGCGGGAUGACGGCCUUCGGGUUGUAAACCGCUUUCGCCGGUGACGAAGCGUGAGUGACGGUAAUGGGUAAAGAAGCACCGGCUAACUACGUG